rnacentral:rRNA from 1 species
UACAGAGACUGCAAGCGUUGUUCGGAUUCAUUGGGCGUAAAGGGUCCGCAGGUGGUCCGGUAAGUCGGAUGUGAAAUCCCAUGGCCUAACCAUGGAACGUCGUUCGAAACUGCCGGGCUAGAGGACUGGAGAGGAGGCUGGAAUGGUCGGUGUAGCGGUGAAAUGCGUAGAUAUCGACCAGAACACCAGUAGCGAAGGCGAGCCUCUGGACAGUUCCUGACACUCAGGGACGAAAGCUAGGGGAG